rnacentral:rRNA from 1 species
UACGUAGGGUCCGAGCGUUAAUCGGAAUUACUGGGCGUAAAGCGUGCGCAGGCGGUAAGUUAAGUCUGAUGUGAAAGCCCCGGGCUCAACCUGGGAAUGGCAUUGGAAACUGGCUUGCUGGAGUGUGGCAGAGGGGGGUGGAAUUCCGCGUGUAGCAGUGAAAUGCGUAGAGAUGCGGAGGAACACCGAUGGCGAAGGCAGCCCCCUGGGCCAACACUGACGCUCAGGCACGAAAGCGUGGGGAGCAAACAGG